GGCUCAUUAAAUCAGUUAUCGUAUAUUUGAUAGUGCCUUUUUACUUGGAUACCUGUGGUAAUUCUAGAGCUAAUACAUGCUAAAAAUCCCGACUCACGGAGGGAUGUAUUUAUUAGAUUAAAAACCAAUGCCCUUCGGGGCUUUCUGGUGAUUCAUAGUAACUUCACGAAUCGCACGGCCUUGCGCCGGCGAUGGUUCAUUCAAAUUUCUGCCCUAUCAACUUUCGAUGGCAGGGUCUUGGCCCGCCAUGGUUUCAACGGGUAACGGAGGGUUAGGGCUCGACCCCGGAGAAGGAGCCUGAGAAACGGCUACUACAUCCAAGGAAGGCAGCAGGCGCGCAAAUUACCCAAUCCCGACCCGGGGAGGUAGUGACAAUAAAUACUGAUACAGGGCUCUUUUGGGUCUUGUAAUUGGAAUGAGUACAAUUUAAAUCCCUUAACGAGGAACAAUUGGAGGGCAAGUCUGGUGCCAGCAGCCGCGGUAAUUCCAGCUCCAAUAGCGUAUAUUAAAGUUGUUGCAGUUAAAAAGCUCGUAGUUGAACCUUGGGCCUGGCUGGCCGGUCCGCCUCACCGCGUGCACUGGUUCGGCCGGGCCUUUCCCUCUGGGGAGCCCUAUGCCCUUCACUGGGUGUAGUGGGGAACCAGGACUUUUACUGUGAAAAAAUUAGAGUGUUCAAAGCAGGCAUAUGCUCGAAUACAUCAGCAUGGAAUAAUAGAAUAGGACGUGGGGUUCUAUUUUGUUGGUUUCUAGGACCGCCGUAAUGAUUAAUAGGGACAGUCGGGGGCAUCAGUAUUCAAUUGUCAGAGGUGAAAUUCUUGGAUUUAUUGAAGACUAACUACUGCGAAAGCAUUUGCCAAGGAUGUUUUCAUUAAUCAGGAACGAAAGUUAGGGGAUCGAAGACGAUCAGAUACCGUCGUAGUCUUAACCAUAAACUAUGCCGACUAGGGAUCGGACGAUGUUAUUUUUUGACUCGUUCGGCACCUUACGAGAAAUCA
rnacentral:rRNA from 1 species